GUUAGAACAAGACCUAAAGGAGACCUGUAUUUUGAACUAAGAACACCACUGUCUGUAAUCAAACAAGACUUCGCAGUAGUGCUUCAGUUUGGAGAAAAGAUGAUUCUCUGUGGCCAAACUUUCAGGUUGAAGCAAAUCCCCACACAGCUCAGGAGAACUGAAGGUUCAGUGGGCAUUCUCUAAUCCCACGACCAAGCCAGCUUCCUCUUCUACACCCAGUAACUCGAGAGCGGAUGUCAGUGAGCUACCAGCCUCUGGAGGACAAAGGCCAGCUCUGCAGGUGCCCGUCUGAGCUCACUGGUCAUCUAGCCAGUAGGGUACGCUGUAACGCUAUGAGGAGAAACGUUUCCCGACGGUUUUGCCUCCCUAACCCACGGGGGCGCCAAGGCCAAUGUGACACUCCCUCUGGAAUCCCCAGCGAAGAAGAAGCAUCAAUGUUCUGAAAGGGGAGGACUAUGUAUGGGCCGCAACAAUAAACAAACCAAGAAGGAAGCUUUCUACAUGCAUUCUGCACAAAUGUUUUUUCAUAACGUCUGUUUGGUUUACAAGUUUUAGAAAUAGGGUUUGUGAGGGCCCAGAAUGGUUUUUUUUUUUUCCCCAUCCAAAG